GGAGGGAGUCCUGAAGGCUGGGUUGAGGAUGAGGAUACAGCUCAUUGCUGAGCCUUAUGGUGAACCAGAAGUUUACCAGGCAGACAGGAGCUGGGGAGAGGGCUGGCAUUCGUCCAUUCAGGUUAUGUUUUCUGAAUUAUAUAUAGAAGGACAUGUUGCAGAAGAAAUGCAAGUACAGUGAAGAAUAAGACUGGGGAACUUUUACAAUUCAGAGUGGCCUUCACUGUGGGCGGUCCGAAUUGAUCCCUGUAUACAGAGGACAAUGAAUCCAGGCAGUGAUCCACCAAUGAUAACUAACAUCAUAAAAAGAUACAUGGCCGGAUAUGAUGUUCCUUCUGACGGAAGACCACAACACCUGCUGAAAAAUCAAAUCUGAAUCGGAUCAAGCCUCUAGAGGAGGCAGCACCCAGGGUCAUUCCUGGAGCAUAAACGAUCCCUGCAGAACAUGGGCUAGAAGACCCCACAGUGGGGCAGAGGCAGGUCCUGGACUGGGAUCCCAGCAGUGAGAAGACCUGGACAUCAACCCUAUUUCAUUGUGCCUCUGCAAAUCUCCCAACUUUUGGAGCUGUAGCUGCAAGCUCAGACUUGUGGUUUCCUGUACCUGGAGGAGGCCCAGGUCAUUCUGUUAAGUCCCUUGUCUAUUUCCUGCUUUUAUCUGGAUGCUGAGUUAAUUAUUUGAUCCAACAAUAAAACUAACAAGGUUUUAUUUGUUUUUAAUGUCUUCUCUUUGCUGAACGCUGUGCUGGGUGCUGUAGCUGACA
rnacentral:lncRNA from 10 species